GAGCAGUGGGGAAUAUUGGACAAUGGGCGAAAGCCUGAUCCAGCAAUGCCGCGUGUGUGAAGAAGGCCUUCGGGUUGUAAAGCACUUUCAGCAGGGAGGAUAAUGACGUUACCUGCAGAAGAAGCACCGGCUAACUUCGUGCCAGCAGCCGCGGUAAUACGAAGGGUGCAAGCGUUAAUCGGAAUUACUGGGCGUAAAGCGCACGUAGGUGGUUUGUUAAGUCGGAUGUGAAAGCCCCGGGCUCAACCUGGGAAUUGCAUUCGAUACUGGCUCACUAGAGUAUGGUAGAGGGAAGCGGAAUUUCCGGUGUAGCGGUGAAAUGCGUAGAUAUCGGAAGGAACACCAGUGGCGAAGGCGGCUUCCUGGACUAAUACUGACACUGAGGUGCGAAAGCGUGGGUAGCAAACAGGAUUAGAUACCCUGGUAGUCCACGCCGUAAACGAUGAGAACUAGCUGUUGGGUAGGUCUAACUUCUUGGUGGCGCAGCUAACGCG
rnacentral:rRNA from 1 species